rnacentral:lncRNA from 1 species
GCGUCUGCCGCAAGGAGGCCCUCGAUGCACGUCUCUCCUCCCUUUCCUCGCUCCCCCUCUCCUUCCCCUCCGGGGCCUCUUUCGCCGGCCUUUUCUGCAGCUUUUGCCCCGUCGAGCCCGGCGUCCCCUCGCCGGCCGACCUGGCACCAUCUGGCUGGCAGAUGAGCGACUAGAUGGAAAGUCCUCCUGGGGCCGAGGAUGUCCGUGUGUCCCUGCGGGAUGCUGGUGGGCAGGAGCCCCUCGGGACGGGGAUGUGUGGGGUGUGGGGUCAAGAGUGUCCGUGUGUCCCUGCGGGAUGCUGGUGGGCAGGAGCCCCUCGGGACGGGGAUGUGUGGGGUGUGGGGGUCAAGAGUGUCCGUGUGUCCCUGCGGGAUGCUGGUGGGCAGGAGCCCCUCGGGACGGGGAUGUGUGGGGUAUGGGGUCAAGAGUCUCCGGGGCUGAGGAUGUCUGUGUGUCCCUGCAGGAUGCUGAGGAUCAGGAGUCUUCCAGGAUGGGAUGAUCUGGGAAGCUGGUGGUCAGGAGUCCCUGGGGCUGAGGAUGUCCAUGUGUCCCUGUGGGAUACUGGAGGUAAGGAGCCCCCUGGGAUGGGGAUAUCUGGGAUGCUGGGGGUUGGGAGCCCCCCGGGAUGGGGAUAUCUGGGAUGCUGGGGGUCAGGAGUCCCCUGGGCUGGGGAUAUCUUGGAUGCUGGAGGUUGGGGGUCCCCUGGGCUGGGGAUGUUCAUGCGUCCCUGCGGGAUACCGAAGGUCUGGAGUCUCCCUGGAUGGGGAUGUCUGCGAUGCUGGGCAUCAAGAGUCCCCUGGGAUGGGGAUGUCUGGGAUUGUAGAGGUCAGGAGUCCCUGGGGACGACUGUGUGUCCCUGCAGGAUGCUGGGGGUGAGGAGCCCCCUGGGACAGGGAUGUCCACGCACCCCUUCCUCUCUGUGGCCGCCUGGCCUGGCUUUUCCUGCCUCCCGGUGGGAUGCAGGGAGACCAGGAAAGUCUGAUUUGAGCUGGAGCACGUGGCAUCCCAGGGGCCAGAGCCUGGCUGGCUGCCAGUGAGCUUGGCAUGGGGGCAUGCAGCGGGCGCUGGUACGUGGCUUCGAGCAGGGCCCGAGCGGGGGGAAGGAGGAGGAGGAGGAAGAACAGCUGGGCCACGGGGCUCCUUUCACCGCACCGUGAAAGGCUGUGACACAGCUGGGCGCCACGGGGCCGCCUGCGGCCGGCGAGACGGGGCGCUGGGAGGCA